rnacentral:rRNA from 1 species
UACGAAGGGGGGCUAGCGUUGCUCGGAAUCACUGGGCGUAAAGGGUGCGUAGGCGGGUUGGUAAGUCCGUGGUGAAAUCCCCAGCUUAACUUGGGAACUGCCGUGGAUACUAUCAAUCUUGAAUAUCGUGGAGGUAAGCGGAAUAUGUCAUGUAGCGGUGAAAUGCUUAGAUAUGACAUAGAACACCAAUUGCGUAGGCAGCUUACUACACGAUCAUUGACGCUGAGGCACGAAAGCGUGGGGAGCAAACAGG